AGCUAUGUAGCUCAGUAGGUUAGAGCACAUUAUUCAUAAUGAUGAGGUCGCAGGUUCAAAUCCUGCCAUAGCUA
rnacentral:tRNA from 1 species